rnacentral:lncRNA from 1 species
CGCACUUCGGGUGGAACUGGCUGAAGAGCCGCAGCGGGCUGUGGGACAGGAUCACCUGCUCCGGAGACACCUGCGGGGAGAGCAGAGGCUGUCGGCGGCAGCGCGACGACCAUCUCCCCGUCUCCGUGCCGCCACCCAAGGCCCUGCCCGGACUUUGUCUCCCCACAGGGACGGCCCCGACCCGCAGGACCCGGACACCCGAGCUCACCUGCAGCCCCAGCGCCUGGGACAGCUCUCGGGCCUUGGCCGCCCGCAGGCAGUUGCCGGCGUUGGUCAGGAAGACGACGGGCACCCUCAGCCGCCCGCCCGCGUCCGACAGCCUCCGGAAAGCCUCUCGGGCGGCGGGCACCACCUGGCUGCCCCGCACCAGCACCCCGUCGAUGUCGAAGAGGAAGCCGAAGGCCGGCGGCCGGCCACCGGCGCAGCCCCGGCGGGCGGGCGGUCCCGGCGGCCCCGCGGCGCGUAGAGCGCCUCGCCCGGCCCGCAGGCAGCCGCGCAGCGCCAUGCCGCGCCGCUCCGCCCGGCCCGGCUCGCGGCGGGGCA